GAUGAACGCUGGCGGCGUGCCUAAUACAUGCAAGUCGAGCGAACGGACGAGAAGCUUGCUUCUCUGAUGUUAGCGGCGGACGGGUGAGUAACACGUGGAUAACCUACCUAUAAGACUGGGAUAACUUCGGGAAACCGGAGCUAAUACCGGAUAAUAUUUUGAACCGCAUGGUUCAAAAGUGAAAGACGGUCUUGCUGUCACUUAUAGAUGGAUCCGCGCUGCAUUAGCUAGUUGGUAAGGUAACGGCUUACCAAGGCAACGAUGCAUAGCCGACCUGAGAGGGUGAGAGGACACACUGGAAAUGAGACACGGUCAAGACUCAGAAGGGAGGAAGAAGUAGGGAAUCUUCAGAAAUGGGCGAAAGCCUGAAGGAGAAACGACGCGGGAGUGAUGAAGGUCUGCGGAUCGGAAAACUCUGUUAUGAGGGAAGAAAAUAGGGGUAAGUAACUGUGCACAUCUUGACGGGACCUAAUCAGAAAGACAAGGCUAACUACGUG
rnacentral:rRNA from 1 species